AACGAACGCUGGCGGCAGGCUUAACACAUGCAAGUCGAGCGCCCCGCAAGGGGAGCGGCAGACGGGUGAGUAACGCGUGGGAACGUACCUUUUGGUUCGGAACAACUCCGGGAAACUGGAGCUAAUACCGGAUAAGCCCUAACGGGGAAAGAUUUAUCGCCGAAAGAUCGGCCCGCGUCUGAUUAGCUAGUUGGUGAGGUAACGGCUCACCAAGGCGACGAUCAGUAGCUGGUCUGAGAGGAUGAUCAGCCACACUGGGACUGAGACACGGCCCAGACUCCUACGGGAGGCAGCAGUGAGGAAUAUUGGACGAUGGGCGCAAGCCUGAUCCAGCCAUGCCGCGUGAGUGAUGAAGGCCUUAGGGUUGUAAAGCUCUUUUGUCCGGGAAGAUAAUGACUGUACCGGAAGAAUAAGCCCCGGCUAACUUCGUG
rnacentral:rRNA from 1 species